rnacentral:rRNA from 1 species
UACGAAGGGUGCAAGCGUUGUCCGGAAUUAUUGGGCGUAAAGGGCUCGUAGGCGGUCUGUUGCGUCAGGAGUGAAAACUCGGGGCUUAACCCCGAGCCUGCUUCUGAUACGGGCAGACUAGAGGUAUGCAGGGGAGAACGGAAUUCCUGGUGUAGCGGUGAAAUGCGCAGAUAUCAGGAGGACACCGGUGGCGAAGGCGGUUCUCUGGGACGGUACUGACGCUGAGACGCGAAAGCGUGGGGAGCGAACAGG